CAUCAAGCUUGAGAGGAGGAUUGCAAAGUGUGCACACAGCCAGGCGUGCACAAAGCAAUCCCAGCGUAGCGCCAACGCGCUGCAGUCAUUCGCCAAGGUCGUGACCUCCAGUCACUCUGCAUCAUAACAAGAGAAGAAGAGAAUUUUAAUCGGGCCUUGCGAUGCAGCCAGCUGUGUCAACACACACGGGACGUCUGUAACAGAUCGCGGGGGGCGCUGGUGCCUAUCUCAGCUACAAUCGGGCGGAAGGCGGGGUACACCCUGGACAAGUCGCCCCCUCAUCGCAGGGCCACCCUUUGAAGUUUCAUGUUAAAAGUAUGUUGCUUUAAUAAUGUGCGAUUUAAGAGUGUAGAAGAGUUUGGAAGUGUGUUCUCCUGCGUCGGUCGAAGGAACACUAACUUGGUGCAGGCCUUUAACGUAAUGAAAUAAGUACCUGGAGAUGUUUGACUACCUUCACCCCAAAAGAGGUCACGUGAGGAUUAAAAAAACAAAACUCAA